AACUUUUGUAUUUUCUUUGUUCAGAAAGAGGCAUAAAAUAUCCAUUCAAAAAUUAUUUAGUCUUUUCUUUUGACACUUGAAUUACUGUUCUCUGCAAUUUUUAUCUUUUACCUUCCAAUAAAUUUUGAAGGGGUGGGCUAAUUAGUGCCAAUAUUAAUGCCAAAGAUGUGCCUUUCUAUUGUUUACAAUUGUCUCAUACCUAGGAAACAGUUUAUCUUUGAAUCCUUAAAUAGUUUGGUUUUUAGUUUUACGUAGUCCAAAUGUUUGAGUUUCCAUAAAAUCAUAUAAUUGUUAUAAGUUUAUGAACAUUUGGAUUUAGUUGGUGAAGUAUGAUUCUCAGAUUCUGAUACGGAAGGCACAUACUCCUAUUGCGUUUAUAGGCCCAUCUAUUGUGUAAGUUCAACCUAUUUUAUUUGGAUUGCCAAUUUGGAGAAAUGUGUUCUAACAUUGACUCUUACGUUAGAUGUUGAAUGUUUCAACUAAACAUCACCUCGUAUCUAUUUUUGGCUAAAAAGAUUGUUAUGAUGCUGAAGACUGCAGCAGGGUUAAGGGUUAAGAGAUUUUACUUCUGAUAACUGAUUUAGGUCUUAAUGGUGGUUAAAAGUUGGAAUAGCUUCAUCUGUCAUUUAUUUUCAUGAUUAAAAGUUCUUAAGUGUUUGUUUUGAUUAAGUUCAACUUUUGUUUGUUCAUCCUGUUGAGUUCCACUUUGAGCAUUUAUUUGAUUUGUGUUUUUUUUUUCCAUUUGCCUGAAUCUCCUGGGGCCUUUUUUUCCUUCUUUUUCUGUGUGUGAGAUUGUUAGUAUGACUUAUGCGAGUCCUUUUGUUUGACUCUCGAGUUAACAGAUUCACAGAGUUGAGACUGGUUAUCAGGCUAGCUCGGUCUUUAUUUGUUUAGUAUUUCACUAGUUUACUUGUGUUGUGGAAACUUGGAACAACUAUUGAUUGCAGAAGAUAUUAAAUUUUGGCAUUUGUUUCUAUUUGGUGAACAAUUAGAAUCUGUUCUUUCUUGAUGCAACCUAUUUCCCACCUCUUCAGUAUUUACCCUAUUUACAGUAGAUUAAAAUCAAGUCAUUGGGGUGGAGACGAGGAAAUUUAGUCGCAACACUUUCAUAUACUAUCCAAGGCUUAUCUUCGUUGAAUUGACAAUAAAAUGAUUGCGAUUUCAUUUAUGUUACAAACAACAAGAGCACUACGUAAUGUAGGGAAGUGGAGAAGUAUUUACGGAGCCAAAAAAGAUUUUACAAUUUGUAAUGUGAACUGGUUUCUUGUUGGUAUUUGACUACAUAUAUUUUCUCUCUUUUUUCGGUUGACAAAUGCUGAGGUUCUGGAUCGAGGUAUUAGAAAACAACACAUAAAGAGAGAAAUGAAGAGGUGAGUUAUGUUUGGAUUUUUUGUGACAUGCGAAAAAUGUAUGUGGAAAGUGCAUGCAGAUUAUAUCCCUUGGAGGGCUUGAGCAUAAGAAGCAGGACAAAUGUCCAUCUUACAUUACAGCAACAAGACAGCUCUAUUUUGUUACCAUAAUCUUGCCAAUUUUAUGAUUACUAUUUUGUUUAGAAGAUCAAGUUUAUUUAUUAGAUCUGUUCCUAUUAUUCAUAUACUAUAAGUAUAUGACUUAGCUGCCGAAUUAUCUACUGUUACGAUACUUAUUCAUAGGGGGACUUCAAAUAUUAUGCUUUUCUCUUUUUUAAAUUUAACGAAGUCUAAAAUAUAUGAAAACAAACACCUCUGGAAAAGACCCUUAUACCCAUAUUUAAAUUUUUGACACCAGUCCAUUUUUUUGGGUUUUUUGUCAUUCUCCUCUUUUAACCAUUUUAACUCUUCCCGCUCUCCGUAAAUUGAGAUUCAUCUUUUAGGCUUCUUGACUCAAUUUGAAAUUUUCUGUCUUUUCUUUCCUUUACAUACUCUGCUGCACUGAUAGGACAACAAUGAAAGGAUUGAUGGACGUUCCCAAAUCGGUUUCCCGCUCCUUUGGCAUUUGCACAACCCACUCAAAUUCCCAAUCUCCUUUUUAACACAAAAAAACCAAUUAUCAAUCUCCGUGCAUAGAACCCCUCACCUUCCAUCUCUUUUUCUCCCCAAAACCAAUCUUUCUCAUUCUCUUCUCCAAUCACUCCUUCAUCUUCUCCACUUUACAACCAACACUGGAGAAAAUCUCUUCUUGAUUCACUCAAACGCCGACGAGAGUCCAACGAGCCUCCACGGUCAGCGGAGGUGACGACUUCACUGCGCGACCACCAUGUUCACUCAUCUUCUACCAUAAUCGACUCCAUCCCUAAAAUUGCCCACUACCAGACCUUUGCCAAAUCGUUUCAUCGGCCACAACACGGGUUUGCUGCGUUUGCACAUUUCAACGAAAAGGAAAACGAUGACAAUGAGCAGUGGUGGUUCCUUUCGUGAGCGAUGAUGGUGGAGAGAUCGUGGUUCUAUGGCCGCAGUGGUUCGAAAGGGAAGAGAAGAAAACCCUUUCUGAUUAAAAUAAGUCAACCAGGUACCUGCAAGAUUAUUUGGAGGGCAAGAAGUGUAUGUCCUUGAUUUUAACACCAAAACCUGGAGAAGAAGAUUAUCUUGAUACUUCGUAUCUGAUGUUUACGUUUUAUAUCCUAUGGGUGGAAGGGAAUCUUAUGUGGUGUGACAGAGACUCCUUGUCCAUACAUGUGGUUCAGGGGGCAGGGGCACACUUCUUGGAGGUGGUUCAAUAGAACGUAAAUACACCCAGAAAGUGAUGCUAGGGAGGUCCAAUAUUCUCUCAUUUUUUUUUCUCUUCUAAUAGAUGAGACCGGGAUAUGUUGCAAGGUUAUAAUUUUAUGGAUAUGGUGUUGGGUGUAUAUAUAGAGAGAGAAAGUGAGGGGUUGGGAAAGGCGAGAAAAGAAGAAAGGGGAGGACUGUGGUUUGGCUAUCUCAUCAUGCCAAUUCCAGCGCAUGAAAAAUUUUAAUAUUUAACAAUUUUAUUUUACUUUUGUUAGUUGGUAUAUUGGGAUUAUACUUCCUUAAAGGUGUUGACUUACCAAUUUUUCAUCUUCACUGAUGCAUGUUCACUGGGUCUCCUUUUUAUGACACGGAUAUUAUAUGAGUUAUGUCUGAAAA